ensembl:snoRNA SNORA70 Small nucleolar RNA SNORA70
AGACAUAAAUGCUAGUCCUUUCCCCAGGGAGGACAUGAUGUGUCUCCCUGUUGCACACAGCAGCCUUCUUUGGUAGUGUAUGUAGCCUGUUGCCUAUAUGGGUUGCCUUGAAGACAAUU